rnacentral:lncRNA from 1 species
AAUUAAUUUGGGUGUACAUAGAAUCAACUCAUCUUCGGCCACCUCGCACGAUCCUUACCACUCCACCGUCCAACCCUCUCUCUCUUCACGUCGACCACCCAUCUCACUCCUCGCGUGCAAAUCUAAGGUAUUAUACCCCCUUCUCUCUCUCUCUCUCUCUGUGGCUUACAGCUCAGGUUUAGCAAUGAUAAAUGAAUUUCAUAAUCGAGAUAAGGGUUGUUUAUGUCCCUCUUUAGUUAGCUUGAUUUUGCAAAAUACGAAUGGUUUGUUGAAUUUCUUCGAAUUCAUCCAAGGCCUAAAUUAAUGCACAUGUGUAGUGUUUGAUUCUAACGCGCGAUUCGAUUUUUUUGGCCUCAGUAGGUGGCCUGGAAAAGGUUCGCAGAAAAGG